CUUAUACUCCCUCUGUCCUAAAAUUUUUGUCUUAGAUUUGUCUAGAUACGGAUGUAUCUAACACUAAAACGUAACUAAAUACAUCCAUAUUUAGACAAAACUAAGACAAGAAUUUUGGGACGGAGGGAGUAUCUU
rnacentral:pre_miRNA from 1 species